rnacentral:rRNA from 1 species
UACGGGGGGGGCAAGCGUUGUUCGGAAUUACUGGGCGUAAAGCGCGCGUAGGCGGACCUGCAAGUCGGGGGUGAAAGCCCGAGGCUCAACCUCGGAACUGCCUUCGAUACUGCGGGUCUCGAGUCCGGGAGAGGUGAGUGGAAUUCCGUAGUGUAGAGGUGAAAUUCGUAGAUAUUAGGAAGAACACCAGUGGCCGAAGGCG